UUAAAACUUCCCGCUACACUCUUUUCACGUGAUGGUGAUCACGUAUCGUCUGAAGAACGAGCUCCGAACUGUGAUGGUGUGUCGGGCUAAAGAGCAUGGUAGCUGAUAGCAGAGACUUUGAAUUAGCGCCCUUGGAGAAGCGGAAUGAGAUUCGCCACCCCAUCAGCCAUCAUGAUGUUUUUACCUGAAACAGGUCUUGGACUGAAGGUCUGUCUGCA